rnacentral:rRNA from 1 species
UACGGAGGGCGCGAGCGUUAAUCGGAAUUACUGGGCGUAAAGCGCGCGUAGGCUGUUGUGUAAGUUGGGGGUGAAAUCCCACGGCUCAACCGUGGAACAGCCCUUGAUACUGCGCGACUUGAAUCCGGGAGAGGGUGGCGGAAUUCCAGGUGUAGGAGUGAAAUCCGUAGAUAUCUGGAGGAACAUCAGUGGCGAAGGCGGAUUGCUGGACAGUAACUGACGCUGAGGCGCGAAAGCGUGGGGAGCAAACAGG